GACGUACAGCUGACUACCCUAAAUGCAUGAGAUCCUGCAUGAUCUUGGAUGUUAAGCAGGGUCAGCCAUGGUUAGUACUUGGAUGGGAGACCACCAACAGGUACUGUAGUCUCUAUUUCA
rnacentral:rRNA from 11 species